UCCCUGGUAGCUCAGAGGUUAAAGCGUCUGCCUGCAAUGCGGGAGACCCGGGUUUGAUCCCUGGGUUGGGAA
rnacentral:tRNA from 1 species